AGAGUUUGAUCCUGGCUCAGGAUGAACGCUGGCGGCGUGCCUAACACAUGCAAGUCGAGCGUGAACCCUGCGAAUGAAACUUCGGUCGAUUUUGCAGGAGGAAAGCGGCGGACGGGUGAGUAACGCGUAGGUAACCUGCCCCAUACUGAGGGAUAGCCUCGGGAAACCGGGAUUAAUACCUCAUAACACCGUUUGUUCGCAUGGACGAACGGUCAAAGAUUUACCGGUAUGGGAUGGGCCUGCGUCUGAUUAGCUGGUUGGUGGGGUAACGGCCUACCAAGGCGACGAUCAGUAGCCGACCUGAGAGGGUGAUCGGCCACAUUGGAACUGAGACACGGUCCAAACUCCUACGGGAGGCAGCAGUGGGGAAUAUUGCGCAAUGGACGGAAGUCUGACGCAGCGACGCCGCGUGAGCGAUGAAGGCCUUCGGGUCGUAAAGCUCUGUCCUUGGGGAAGAAGGUCUUCGGACUUGACGGUACCCAAGAAGAAAGCCCCGGCUAACUACGUGCCAGCAGCCGCGGUAAUACGUAGGGGGCGAGCGUUGUCCGGAAUUACUGGGCGUAAAGGGUGCGUAGGCGGCCCUUUAAGUCAGAUGUGAAAGCCCGCAGCUUAACUGCGGAAUUGCAUUUGAAACUGGAGGGCUUGAGUGUCGGAGAGGGUAGUGGAAUUCCCAGUGUAGCGGUGAAAUGCGUAGAUAUUGGGAGGAACACCAGUGGCGAAGGCGACUGCCUGGACGAUAACUGACGCUGAGGCACGAAAGCUAGGGGAGCAAACAGGAUUAGAUACCCUGGUAGUCCUAGCCGUAAACGAUGGGUACUAGGGUGUAGGUGGUUUCGAUACCAUCUGUGCCGUAGUUAACGCAUUAAGUACCCCGGCCGGGGGAGUACGUGCGCAAGCAUGAAACUCAAUGAAUU
rnacentral:rRNA from 1 species